ACUGAUGGAUUUCUUACAAUAGGGAAAGUAACUAAAAUAGUUCAAUAUUGAAGAUCACAUGCAAGGUGAGGCUUGUCUGGAGAGUACUGGAUCAGACUUGAGUGAAAGCUGAUGUCAAUGUGGUAGGCCAAUGGUGAAGGGAGGAGACUGUUAAAGGUCAUUUGGGAGGUAUGGGCCCACAUAAAGCAAAUAACCUGAUCAAGAAAUAUUAUAUAUAUUUGGGCAUAAAACCUCAUGGAUUAAGCUUGUGGAUCAAAUUGGGUUUUAACAUGUACAUCAAGGCCCCUUAUAUUGGACUCCCAUCUUCCUUAUCGAAUCCCUUAUGCAAUCCAAGAGUUGUUAUCUCUUGAUGAGAGUUAUCUUCUACUGUUCCCUUAAGAGGUUGUGAUCUAAGAGAGCUGUCUCUUGAUACUAUGAUUCAACAAUGGUAUCAAAGCUAAUGGUGAUGAUCCCAUACACAACUCUUAAAGCGAUGACAAGUGCCAAUACUAGUGGAUCUUAAAAUGGCGACAUGUGGGCUAGUAGAGCAAAGUUUAAUAGCCAUAGUGUGCCAAGUUGAUGAAGCGGACUCAAUGCAGCGGUGCUGAGUAAGCACGGGCUCGGGCAUCAUUCUUGAAGAGUCAGGAUCAUAGUGUAAUGAGCGUAUCCAAGCAUGGCGGAAAGCAUGCAAGAGCACAUGAUGGUGCAGUGGGAAUGACAAGAUGAGUGAACUUGACUUUGGUGUAACAUAGCUUAAAAGCAUGAUUCCACAGUUGGAUCACUACAUGAAGCACUCAAAAAAAACUGGCUUAAGAGUAGUGGAUCAAAUGCAAGGGAAAGUUAAUGAGGAUGUGGGAAGAGUUCAGACAUCACGAUUUGAUUAUUGAGAAUUCAUGUGUAAAAAAGAAAAUCCUACAUCAAAUCAUGAAAGAAAAGUAAAGGGUUUGAUCUGCUAGUUGGGCCCAAAACUCAUACCUUAAGCAUUUAGGCCAAAUUCGGUUCAAACAUGUAUCCCAAGUUCCUUGGGUUUUAAGUCCAUGCAUCCCCUAAAGUAUCAGACUCAAGGUCUCCAGUACUGGAACUGGCACACAUGCCAGUAGGUUGGCGGUACAGUACGAUAUGGUGCUAUGCUAUGUCAUGCCAUUCCAGUGUGUUCCAACAAAGAGGAACCAGCGAAGGAGGGG
rnacentral:lncRNA from 1 species